AUUGAACGCUGGCGGCAUGCCUUACACAUGCAAGUCGAACGGUAACAGGUUUUCGGAUGCUGACGAGUGGCGAACGGGUGAGUAAUACAUCGGAACGUGCCCAGACGUGGGGGAUAACGAGGCGAAAGCUUUGCUAAUACCGCAUACGAUCUAAGGAUGAAAGCAGGGGACCGCAAGGCCUUGCGCGUUUGGAGAGGCCGAUGGCAGAUUAGGUAGUUGGGGGGAUAAAAGCUUACCAAGCCGACGAUCUGUAGUUGGGCUGAGAGGACGACCAGCCACACUGGGACUGGGACACGGCCCAGACUCCUACGGGAGGCAGCAGUGGGGAAUUUUGGACAAUGGGCGAAAGCCUGAUCCAGCAAUGCCGCGUGCAGGAUGAAGGCCUUCGGGUUGUAAACUGCCUUUGUACGGAACGAAAAGGCUCUGGCUAAUACCUGGGGCACAUGACGGUACCGUAAGAAUAAGCACCGGCUAACUACGUGCCAGCAGCCGCCGUAAUAC
rnacentral:rRNA from 1 species